UCACUUUCAACAACGGAUCUCUUGGUUCUCGCAUCGAUGAAGAACGUAGCGAAGUGCGAUAAGUAGUGUGAAUUGCAGAAUUCCGUGGAUCAUCGAAUUUUUGAACGCAAAUUGCACUCUCUGGUAUUCCGGAGAGUAUGCCUGUUUGAGGGUCAUUAAAAUCAAAAUCGAUUUGUUACUUUGGUAACGUUUCGGAAUUGGGCCAUCU
rnacentral:rRNA from 1 species